rnacentral:lncRNA from 1 species
GAUUCGUGCCUGUCACAAAUUUGGGACCAAAAGCCACCUGUCUGUGGGAUUAACAACAGUCGAGGCUAUGACUGACAUCGUGCCCUAGCGAGUGCACAGGUCUGGCCAGCUGGGCGGCUGGACCUGGCUCUCUCGCCUUGGGUCCGUUCAGCCCAUUUUGUGGAUGGAUCAGGUGAAGUGUGGCUCCUGGGGCUGCUGGCUGCUUUCCAGUGUGCGGUUGCCAAGCAUGUGAAUGAGGCUUUCCUGAGCCACAGCUUCCAUGGCGCAUGCCGGAGGAACCCUCGCAUGGAACCUAAGGGCGCCAGAGGCGGAGUUGGAGGCGUGGUAUUGGGGGAUCCUGGGGAUGCGUGUUGGGGGCUGGGUGGGUGCUAGGAGAGAGGAAAGAACUGGACCCACCUGGAAGACCAGCCAGGUGUGGGUCAGAAGCUAUAAACAUGAGAGGGCUCGAGGAAUUCUCAUAGUGCUUUCUGGAGCCGGGGAAAAGAGGGCUGGCCAGGAGGCCCCCACGUUU